rnacentral:misc_RNA from 1 species
AACAUCGCGCACCUGCGGGAACCUGCGGAAGGAUCAUUACCGAGUGCGGGCCCUCGCGGGGCCCAACCUCCCACCCUUGUCGUUGAACACCCUGUUGCUUUGGCGGGCCCACUGGGGCAACCCGGUCGCCGGGGGUCUUCUGACCCCGGGCCCGUGCCCGCCGAAGCGCCUGUGAACCCUGAUGAAGAUAGGCGGUCUGAGUCAAUGGAAAAUGGUUAAAACUUUCAACAAUGGAUCUCA